CUAAAGACUAGCCUGCACCUUAUACCAUAAAUUAUUAUACAUUAACCAAACCAUUUAACAAAUCUAGUAUAUGAGAUAGAACUAUGAAUUCAGCGCAAUAGCCUAAAUUGUACCCCAAGGGAACUAUGAAAGACUAACUAAACAACUCCAAGCAUAACACAGCAGGGGUAAAACCCCGUACCUUCUGCAUCAUGGUUUAGCAAGCAGUCUGCCGAUAAAGCGUCCUGUAUCUGCCACCCCGAAACCAGUCGAACUACCUAAAAGCAAUCACCAAGGAUGAACCCAGCCCUGUAGCAAAAGCGCGGGAUGACUUUUAGGUAGCGGCGAAACACCAAUCGAGUCUGGUGAUAGCUGGUUGCUCAUCAAAUGAACCUCAGUUCAACUCUAGCUCUACUAACAAACAAUCAACUUUCCACCUAGAAGAUAGACAAUAAGGGUACAGCUUUAUUGUAACUGGCUACAACCAAAAUUAGUGGGACAAACAAACAAACUCACCCGUAGGCCUUUAAGCCGCCAACAACAACUAGUGCGUCAAAGCACCUAUACACUGAUAUAACAAACACACCUGAUCCCCUAACCUCCCACCGAGCCACCCCCACAAACCUGGGGGGAACCUCUGCUAAAACUAGUAAUAUGACAUAUCUCUCCUAUAACAUGCCCUUACACCAACACGGACAAACCAUUGAUAGUUAACAGACUCUAAAAAGCAAAAUAGGACUAAACUAGCCCCGCUACCACAUACACUGUUACCCCAACACAGGAAUGUACACAGGAUGGUAAAAAGUCUCAGAGGGAACUCGGCUAACUUCGCCCCAUCUGUUUACCAAAAACAUAGCCUUUAGCCUCACAUAAGUAUUAAAGGUCCUGCCUGCCCAGUGAAAUUUUAACGGCCGCGGUAUCAUAACCGUGCAAAGGUAGCGUAAUCACUUGCCCCCUAAAUAGGGGCCCGUAUGAACGGCUAAAUGAGGGCAAACCUGUCCCCUUAGACUACUCAAUGAAACUGAUCUAUCAGUACAAAAGCUGAUAUACACCCAUAAGACGAGAAGACCCUGUGGAGCUUUAAACUCAAACACUACCCUUAACCAACCACCCUGGCCCUGGCCAUAAAACACGCUCCAAAAUAGUGUUAGUUUUAAGUUGGGGCGACUGCGGAACAAAACAAAACUUCCAUAAUACAGGCUCCCCCCCAUCAAAGACCUACAAGUCAAAGAAAAACACCAUUGACCCAGUUAAUACUGAUCGCCGAACCAAGUUACCCCAGGGAUAACAGCGCCAUCCCCUUUAAGAGUCCCUAUCGCUAAGGGGGCUUACGACCUCGAUGUUGGAUCAGGACCCCCAGGUGGUGCAGCCGCUACCAAAGGUUCGUUUGUUCAACGAUUAAUGUCCUACGUGAUCUGAGUUCAGACCGGAGAAAUCCAGGUCGGUUUCUAUCUAUGCCAUAGUCUCAUCAGUACGAAAGGACCAAUAAGACUAACGCCCAUGUUAAACCAACACGCGUUACAAACAUACACUGAAAAUAUAUAAAGUCUACCCACACACGUGGACCCUAGACAAGGGAAU
rnacentral:rRNA from 1 species